rnacentral:rRNA from 1 species
AUUGAACGCUGGCGGCAUGCCUUACACAUGCAAGUCGAACGGCAGCGGACCCUCGGGUGCCGGCGAGUGGCGAACGGGUGAGUAAUAUAUCGGAACGUACCUUUCAGUGGGGGAUAACGUAGCGAAAGUUACGCUAAUACCGCAUAUUCUGUGAGCAGGAAAGCAGGGGAUCGCAAGACCUUGCGCUGAUUGAGCGGCCGAUAUCAGAUUAGCUAGUUGGUGAGGUAAAGGCUCACCAAGGCGACGAUCUGUAGCGGGUCUGAGAGGAUGAUCCGCCACACUGGAACUGAGACACGGUCCAGACUCCUACGGGAGGCAGCAGUGGGGAAUUUUGGACAAUGGGCGCAAGCCUGAUCCAGCCAUGCCGCGUGAGUGAAGAAGGCCUCGGUUGUAAG